GAUGAAGAACGCAGCGAAAUGCGAUAAGUAAUGUGAAUUGCAGAAUUCAGUGAAUCAUCGAAUCUUUGAACGCACAUUGCGCCUGCCAGUAUUCUGGCGGGCAUGCCUGUCUGAGCGUCAUUUCAACCCUCAUGCCCCUAGGGCGUGGUGUUGGGGAUCGGCCAAAGCCCGCGAGGGACGGCCGGCCCCUAAAUCUAGUGGCGGACCCGUCGUGGCCUCCUCUGCGAAGUAGUGAUAUUCCGCAUCGGAGAGCGACGAGCCCCUGCCGUUAAACCCCCAACUUUCCAAGGUUGACCUCAGAUCAGGUAGGAAUACCCGCUGAACUUAAGCAUAUCAAUAAGCGGAGGA
rnacentral:misc_RNA from 1 species